AACUGAAACCCGACUAGGACGUUCACCAGCUGAGGAUUCAUCCCAUCCAACCUGCAUUGUAUUACCUUGACCAUUUAAUUAUGAUAUAAAAUUUCUCCUGAGGACCUGUCUGAUCCUGCACCAGCUAACACUACAGGAAAUUCUGUUGAUCCAGGUGACACAGAGGAGGUUGAAGAAGACACGGGAGCUACUGCCCGGUUUAUGCGAGCAGAUGUUACUUAGACUAGCUAUUUUGAUUAUGCCAUUUUAUGUUUAGAAUGCUAGUCUAGAAUUAUUUUGAUGUGAUAGGGAGUCUGUGUCUCUGGGCCUGUUUGGAACCCCUAUAUGGUUUAUGUCUUUUUGAGCAGCCGGUUUACCACUGGGGCACAAAGGCUUGAAAACAAAAAUCCAUCUUGGGAGCAGCACAUUUGUUUUUACGAUGGGAGUUGGUGUACCUGAAGACUACGCCAUUGUGAAUUCUUCCA